GGGGGGAGGAGGCAGAGGAGGGUACGGAGCAGGCGCAUGAGGCGACGCGUGCGCGCGCAGGGGUGGCUGAGCGGAGCCGUUAGGAUGUCGCGUUACGGCCGCUAUGGAGGCGAGACCAAGGUGUACGUGGGGAACCUGGGCACGGGCGCUGGAAAGGGUGAGCUGGAGAGAGCCUUCAGCUACUACGGGCCCCUGAGAACCGUGUGGAUCGCGAGGAACCCGCCGGGGUUUGCCUUUGUGGAGUUUGAAGAUCCGAGGGAUGCUGAGGAUGCUGUCCGUGGGCUUGAUGGAAAGGUGAUUUGUGGCUCCAGAGUUAGAGUGGAAGUGUCAACUGGGAUGCCUCGUCGCUCCCGUUACGACAGGCCUCCUGCCCGGCGCCCCUUUGACCCAAACGACAGAUGCUAUGAGUGUGGUGAGAAAGGCCACUAUGCUUAUGAUUGUCACCGCUAUAGUCGCCGAAGGAGGAGCAGGUUUCUUCGUUUGAGUCAGUCGCCUUGAUUCAGAAUGUCACGAGCCUUAAGAUUUCAUGCUGAGGCGCCUUGCAAAUCCGACACUUAAGAUCCUCCUAGACCUUGAGGUGAUCAGCAUAAGAGGCCAGAUCCCCUCGAGCCAUCUACACGUAGCUUCACCUUAUUCUUUAAGGGCAGAAAAAAUUGAGACGGUGAUCGCCGUAACAGUAAAUUUGGCUUUCAAUUGGGGCCCCCCUCCGGUUUAGAAAGAGGAACACCAGAUUGACCACAUUCCCACCUAGAAAAAUCUUCUUGCGUCAAUCAAGCCUCACCCUGGCUCAUUGGGCUGUCAGUUUGAUCGUCGUUAGAUUGAAGAGAACACCUAGAUGCAGCGAUCGGCUAUAGAUACUUCUAGAUCGUCUAGAUCUGCUAGACCUUGGGCCAAAGAGGGUCGACCUGCAAACUUGCAAGGUUUAUUUUAAAUACGCAUUACAGUGUUUUCUAUUCUAAUGUAAUUCUGCAAUGUCAUUCAGCUUUUAACAUUUUUCUAGGUAGUAAAAUGAUCAAGACGAGUAGGCCCAGAGAUUUUUCCAACUGACAGAUGCUAGUUCUUUAGUUGUCUGAAAUAAGUUUUGACUUCAGCAGGGCCUCACAUGCAUUGGUUGCUGCAGCUUUGUCCUCAUACCUCUUUUCUCUAACCUAAACCCAGGUCCCGGUCGAGAUCUCGUUCACGGUCCCGAGGACGAAGGUAUUCUCGCUCACGCAGUCGGAGUCGUGGUAGGAGGUCCAGGUCAGCUUCCUAUCGUCGAUCCCGCUCCGUUUCUCCUCGUAGGUCUAGGUCUGUGUCUCCCCGCCGGUCCCGAUCGGCAUCCUUGAAGAGAUCAAGGUCUAGAUCAAGGUCUAGAUCUAGAUCCAGAUCUGUUACAUGGCCCCGAAGCAGGUCUAGGUCCCAUGGCAGAUCAAAAUCUGGCUCGCCAGCUAAGAGUCAGUCAAAGUCCCGAUCACCAUCUCCAAAGAGAAGUCGUUCACCAUCAGGAAGCCCUCAAAGAAGUGCAAGUCCUGAAAGAAUGGAUUAAAGUUAAUCUUUUAGGAAGAAAGUUAUUUUGCUUACAUUAUUAUAAGGGAUUUUGUGGUGUCUUUGUAAAUGUAAGAAUGUAGAUAGGAGAGUAUAUCAACUAAAAUUUGGCAUGAUCUGGAUCUUCUGAGUUAGUCACACUAAUAGACUAGCACAGGUCUCUUUUUAUUGUAUGAAUUAACUUCCUGUGAAAUGAAAAUGCGGGACUUUUUUAUUGGCACAUUGAAAUAAAAUGUGUAUUUUUAACUAAAACUCCUCUGUAGUAACCCUGCUGCUUCUGUUAACAUUUGGGUAAUUUUAACUGUGUGCCAUGUAAUGUGGAUGACAAAUGUCUAAAAUGGAUGGGAAUGACUAAUACCGGUGUCUUCUCCAAGUAGUCACUUUUCACAGUUACUGUUGAAUGCUACUUGGUGAAAGGAUCAGUUUCUGCUUCAUCUGAAAUAGAAUUGAAAAUCCAUCUCUGUCUGCAGAUGGCCAAAAUCAGCAUAUGCACUUUUUAUUCUUUUUAUGAUAUUUAGUGGUCAUUCAUUUCCUCUCCCUGAUCUGACUAUUCUGCAAAGCUUACUCUGAUGCUUGGCAAGUUGUGAUUACCAGGUGCCCAAAGACUUAGGAUGAACUUUUAUUCAAAACAGUGACAUCUGCAUAAAAAAAUAACAUCUGCAGAAAUCUCUAAACAUAAAUCAUCAAUAACUUGAUGAUUGCUACUGCAGCUUGUUGCAUUUUUUGUUCUUUAGGCUGUUAAUACAAAGAAAACUUGUGUCUUGAAACAUUUUCCUUUUUUGAGGGAAGAUGUAAGGUCUUCUGGCCUACUUUCUGAAGGACCUUAGGAGAAUGUGUUGAGAGGCAAAAGAAAGCUGUUACUAGUCUUUAAGCAUCUCACUUAAACCUUCCUCCUUAAAGUGAUUUUCUCAGCUGACCUCAGGAAUUCUAACCUGCUUCACAGAAAUCCGUAUGGUUUUAAAGCAGCCCAGAUCCUGGAGAUGGUUUUGUUGAAUUAAGCUAUUUUCUUACAGCAAGUGCACACCUGCAGGAUUAAUUAUUUGUGUAUAGGUAUGUCAAACUCUGUGUUUGUCCUCAUUCUGUAGAAAAGAAUUGCAUGAUAAGGCACUUUGACACAGAUCCCAGCAAGAGACUGGAAAUGAUGUUAGACUGAACAAACAAGCUGAUAGCUGGAGGGGAAAAAAGCAAACACAUCUAGCAGAAAUAAACUCAAGUUUCAGCAGCAAACAGGCACUGAAAUGGAAAGUGAGGCUUAUUUCAGCUUCUUAGGAUGUCUCUAAUGGCACUUUGCUUCCAGUGUGUAAAGCACAGCAGAAAAAACCCAACAAGAUUAACUUUGGUCACACUGUGGGUAACCCAUGAUUUUCAAAACCCAGUUUUGCUGUUAAUAGUGACUUUAUGGAACUUUUUAAGUGUAUGAGUUAAUAGUUCAGUUCUGAGCAUACUGUCGUGCUGCAGCAUUGUCUGGCCUUUAUGCCUGGUCCUAACUGUUGGGUGCUUGGUGUUUGCCUUGGACAGUCCUGUGGUGCUCAGUGAUGGGGAUAAAUGUUUCAUCUGCUGGGAGCAAUGAUCGAUAUUCUGGCAAUAUCCGUUAUAAUUCCAUGGUCACCACAGGGCUGGGGAGGGGGAGGGAGGCAGUGACACUGCAGUGAUGUAGCAGAAAUUCCCAAAGUCUGUGUCUUGUGUUUGGAAUAUUUCCUGGUUGUGCAUUGCCUACCCAGUUCAUAGUGUACCUGGUGCGAGGCUUAUGUAUGCCAGUGCUCUGGAAUUUGAUGAGCUUUUUUCUUUUCUGUACUCUUAAGGCAUGCCUACUCCACAAUAAACCUGCAGACUGAUGUGA